UCGAGAAUAAUUCACAAUGGGGGAAACCCUGAUGGUGCAACGCCGCGUGGAGGAUGAAGGUCUUCGGAUUGUAAACUCCUGUCAUCGGGGAGUAAGACCUGACGGUAAAUAGCCGGCAGGGUUGAUAGUACCCGAAGAGGAAGGGACGGCUAACUUCGUGCCAGCAGCCGCGGUAAUACGAAGGUCCCAAGCGUUGUUCGGAAUCACUGGGCGUAAAGGGAGCGUAGGCGGCGCGGUAAGUCAGAUGUGAAAUCCCGGGGCUCAACCCCGGAACUGCAUCCGAUACUGCCGUGCUUGAGGGUUGGAGAGGUAGCUGGAAUUAUCGGUGUAGCAGUGAAAUGCGUGGAUAUCGAUAGGAACACUCGUGGCGAAGGCGAGCUACUGGACAACAUCUGACGCUGAGGCUCGAAGGCUAGGGGAGCAAAAGGG
rnacentral:rRNA from 1 species